UACAGAGGGUGCGAGCGUUGUUCGGAAUUACUGGGCGUAAAGAGUGUGUAGGCGGUGCUCCCAGUCUGUUGUGAAAUCUCCCGGCUUAACUGGGAGGGUGCAGCGGAAACUAGAGUGCUAGAGGGUGGGAGAGGUAAGCGGAAUUCCUGGUGUAGCGGUGAAAUGCGUAGAUAUCAGGAGGAACACCUGUGGUGUAGACAGCUUACUGGACCACUUCUGACGCUGAGACACGAAAGCGUGGGUAGCAAACAGG
rnacentral:rRNA from 1 species